UUUGAAGUUUGUCUGGUCUGGAGGUGUGAAUCCAGCAGCGUCUCUCACAGUGAGUCCUCACAGACUGCAGCACUUCAGCACAGAGUCACUGUCACUGAUCUGUGAGGGAAACUCUACUGAGUGGAGAGUGAUCAAGGUUGAUGAAGAUGGCAAGAGGUCAACCUGUUAUUACUGGGGAGAAAUGACUGGAUCCACAUGCAACACCGACACUAGAGCGAGUAGUGGAGUGUACUGGUGUGAGUCUGUAACACAGUCCAGCAAUGCAGCCAACAUCACUAUACACAUAGUGUCCUCAGAGCCCCGCCCAGUGCCACGCCUUCCUCCAUUGACACAGCUGUGUCUCGUCUUCCCAUUAGACCAGCUGACAUAAAUACUCCGGCUUUCGUCGCCCCAGCUGUCAGUCCGUCCGUUAAGCCAACACGGUACCUCGGGUCCGUGAGUUUUUCUGUCGCAGCCCUUGUGAUCAUGCGAUAACCCCUUGUUUCUCACCCUUGCCGUCCGGCGUCGAACCUCGGAGAUUCACCUGCCCGAAGAGGUAGCCAGUUAGUUCCGCGGAGAUCAGUUGAGCACCUACAAACUCCUGCGUCGAGCCUCGGGUGUCACGCAGUCGAGCUCUCUGCAUGUCACUCA